AUGGAGAUGAGCUUCGGGGGCGGAGGUGGAGGGGAGUGCUCGUCGUCGUCCAUGGCGUCGAUACAGUUCAGCGGUGCCCCUCCCCCUCCCCGCCUCCCACCCCCCUCGCCGCCGCCUCCUCCUUCCUCCAGCACUACAUAUCCAACCUCGCCUCUCGCUUCGCCGCCCCGCGCUCGCCGCCCCGCACUAUGGUCUCAAGAGCUCGCCAGAAUGGUCGCCCACAGGUUCCACCAGUACCAGGUGGUGGCUCGCACGCUGCCGACCCCCGGCGAUGAGCAGCCCAAGAUCUACCACAUGAAGCUCUGGGCCACCAACGAGGUCCGCACCAAGUCCAAGUUCUGGUACUUCCUGAGGAAGCUCAAGAAGGUGAAGAAGGCCAACGGCCAGAUGCUCGCCAUCAACGAGGGGUCCUGGUCCUCUCCCUCGUCAUCCUCGGCGGUGGCAACGCGGCUUGGCGCCAUCGCCGUGCCCUGCGUCAACGUCACGAUCAGCUUCACGGAUCGCCGUCUUCACGAGGUUGGUCGAAGAGGGCUGGAGUUCAUGCCGUUCCUGCUGUCCCUGUUCGUGUUCCUCUUCGGCACCUCCUGGUUCAUCUUCGACCUCAUCCUGUUAAAAAUGGGACUUGGAAUAAUAUGCAAGUUUCAUCUUUUCUAUUGCAGCGAGUUGGUCGGUUAUGCACUGGCAGCGGUGGGUGCGAUGGUCCAGGCCAAGCAGAGAAAGAUAGGUGAGAUAUGCUCAGAGGUGAUCAUCGACAAGUCCUCGGACAAGAUGACGAUGGAGAGUAUAGUGGAGGCACAGCACAUCAUGAAGAAGCUGCACGAGUACGUCAAGACGACGAACGUCGUGAUCCUCAGGCUAUGGUCCAUUAUUCUAGCCCGGUCACCAAACGUAUAUAUCAUUGCACACUAG
rnacentral:rRNA from 1 species